rnacentral:rRNA from 1 species
AGAGUUUGAUCCUGGCUCAGGACGAACGCUGGCGGCGUACUUAACGCAUGCAAGUCGAACGAGCUCCAUCCACUAGCAAUAGUGGUGAAGAGCUAGUGGCGAACGGGUGCGUAACACGUGAGCAACCUGCCCCGAAGACUGGGAUAACACCGGGAAACCGGUGCUAAUACCGGAUACCCCCAGACCCCCGCAUGAGGGACUGAGGAAAUGGAUUUCCGCUUCGGGAGGGGCUCGCGGCCUAUCAGCUUGUUGGUGGGGUAACGGCCCACCAAGGCUUCGACGGGUAGCUGGUCUGAGAGGACGAUCAGCCACACUGGGACUGAGACACGGCCCAGACUCCUACGGGAGGCAGCAGCGGGGAAUCUUGCGCAAUGGGCGAAAGCCUGACGCAGUAACGCCGCGUGGGGGAUGAAUGCCUUCGGGUUGUAAACCCCUUUCAGCAGGGACGAAAUUGACGGUACCUGCAGAAGAAGCCCCGGCCAACUACGUGCCAGCAGCCGCGGUAAUACGUAGGGGGCGAGCGUUGUCCGGAUUUAUUGGGCGUAAAGAGCGCGUAGGUGGCUCGACAAGUCGGGUGUGACAAUUCAAGGCUCAACCUUGAGAGGCCAUUCGAUACUGUCGUGGCUAGAGUUCGGUAGGGGAUCACGGAAUUCCUGGUGUAGCGGUGAAAUGCGCAGAUAUCAGGAGGAACACCGAUGGCGAAGGCAGUGAUCUGGGCCGAUACUGACACUGAGGCGCGAAAGCGUGGGUAGCGAACAGGAUUAGAUACCCUGGUAGUCCACGCCGUAAACGUUGGGCACUAGGUGUGGGGCCUUAUCAACGGGUUCCGUG